CCAAGGCAACGAUGCGUAGCCGACCUGAGAGGGUGAUCGGCCACACUGGGACUGAGACACGGCCCAGACUCCUACGGGAGGCAGCAGUAGGGAAUCUUCCGCAAUGGACGAAAGUCUGACGGAGCAACGCCGCGUGAGUGAUGAAGGUUUUCGGAUCGUAAAGCUCUGUUGUUAGGGAAGAACAAGUACCGUUCGAAUAGGGCGGUACCUUGACGGUACCUAACCAGAAAGCCACGGCUAACUACGUGCCAGCAGCCGCGGUAAUACGUAGGUGGCAAGCGUUGUCCGGAAUUAUUGGGCGUAAAGGGCUCGCAGGCGGUUUCUUAAGUCUGAUGUGAAAGCCCCCGGCUCAACCGGGGAGGGUCAUUGGAAACUGGGGAACUUGAGUGCAGAAGAGGAGAGUGGAAUUCCACGUGUAGCGGUGAAAUGCGUAGAGAUGUGGAGGAACACCAGUGGCGAAGGCGACUCUCUGGUCUGUAACUGACGCUGAGGAGCGAAAGCGUGGGGAGCGAACAGGAUUAGAUACCCUGGUAGUCCACGCCGUAAACGAUGAGUG
rnacentral:rRNA from 1 species